CGCUGAUGCCCUUCCUGGGCGUUUCCUCCCUGUAAACUGGCCGCGCCGUAGAGCGCGGCUUUUUUUUGCCAAAA
rfam:Asticcacaulis sp. AC466 contig00001, whole genome shotgun sequence.